rnacentral:rRNA from 1 species
UACGGGGGGGGCAAGCGCUGUUCGGAAUUACUGGGCGUAAAGGGCUCGUAGGCGGCCAACUAAGUCAGACGUGAAAUCCCUCGGCUUAACCGGGGAACUGCGUCUGAUACUGGAUGGCUUGAGUUCGGGAGAGGGAUGCGGAAUUCCAGGUGUAGCGGUGAAAUGCGUAGAUAUCUGGAGGAACACCGGUGGCGAAGGCGGCAUCCUGGACCGACACUGACGCUGAUGAGCGAAAGCCAGGGGAGCAAACGGG